AUACGAAGGGUGCAAGCGUUAAUCGGAAUUACUGGGCGUAAAGCGCGCGUAGGUGGUUCGUUAAGUUGGAUGUGAAAGCCCCGGGCUCAACCUGGGAACUGCAUCCAAAACUGGCGAGCUAGAGUACGGUAGAGGGUGGUGGAAUUUCCUGUGUAGCGGUGAAAUGCGUAGAUAUAGGAAGGAACACCAGUGGCGAAGGCGACCACCUGGACUGAUACUGACACUGAGGUGCGAAAGCGUGGGGAGCAAACAGGAUUAGAAACCCCAGUAGUCC
rnacentral:rRNA from 1 species